GAAUAGAUACCCAUCGUGUCUUUUGCUGUGCAAUCAGUAAAUAUUUAUCUGUGAAUGUGUAGCAGAAGACAGACUGGGGAUCCAUUA
rnacentral:pre_miRNA from 1 species